rnacentral:rRNA from 1 species
GCGAUCAUACCAGCACUAAUGCACCGGAUCCCAUCAGAACUCCGAAGUUAAGCGUGCUUGGGCGAGAGCAGUACUAGGAUGGGUGACCCCCUGGGAAGUCCUCGUGUUGCACAUA